CAAAUAACUGAAAAAAAUCACAUACUUCUUUCCAAAAAGGGGGAGGGGGCUCACCGUAAACAGUACUGUACACAAAUAAUCGGAGUUAAUUUAUGCAGAUAGCUUCUUUACCCUAAAGCUGCGGUUUGAUUUGGACAAGAAGUUCUUCACUAAUAUUCACUUCCUCUCACAGGGCCUCAUGCAGGGCCUUGGGCCAGGCCUCAAGAGAAGUCCCUUUCUAUUAAUAGUUCCUGCCCUGCCAGCCUUACCUAUUUGACUGAGUCACUUUGCUUCUCUGGGCUUGCAGCAGCAUCCAGGGAGGGGUGUGGUGAGAGUGCCCCUGUUCCCAGCCCAACAGCUCCUCUUUUUUCUCUUAUGCAUUGGAUUUUUUUUUUCAAGAAACAUGCUUUUACUUUAACAAAAACUGAAAUCCACUGGUCUACGUGAUAGUCUAAGAUUUCCUAUGUGCUUAGUCACCCACAGAUGAAGGAAGAUUGGACAGAAAUGAAGUUAUGAAAAUGAAAUCGAAUGCUUGUGACUGCAGUUUUCCCAAGGUUUCAUAGAAGUGGUCUGGAGGCUCUUCACGGAGAACUACAAACCACUGCUGAAGGAAAUAAGAGAGGACACAAACAAAUGGAAAAACAUUCCAUGCUCAUGGAUAGGAAGAAUCAAUAUCGUGAAAAUGGCCUUACUGCCCAAAGUAAUUUAUAGAUUCAAUGCUAUCCUCAUCAAGCUACCACUGACUUUCUUCACAGAAUUGGAAAAAAACUACUUUCAACUUCAUAUGGAAUCAAAACAGAGCCCGCAUAGCCAAGACAAUCCUGGGCAAGAAGAACAAAGCUGGAGGCAUCACGCUACCUGACUUGAAACUUUACUACAAGGCUACAGUAACCAAAACAGCAUGGUACUGGUACCAGAACAGAGAUAUAGACCAAUGGAACAGAACGGAGGCCUCAGAAAUAUUACCACACAUCUACCACCUCUGAUCUUUGACAAACCUGACACACACAAGCAAUGGGGAAAACAUUCCUUGUUUAAUAAAUUAUGUUGGGAAAACUGGCUAGCCAUAUGCAGAAAACUGAAACUGGACCCCUUCCUUACACCUUAUACAAAAAUUAACACAAGAUGGAUCAAAGACUUAAACGUAAGACCUAGGACCAUAAAAAUCCUAGAAGAAAACCUGGGCAAUACCAUUUAGGAUGUAGGCAUGGGCAAAGACUUCAUGACUAAAACAUCAAAAGCAAUGGUAACAAAAGCCAAAAUUGACAAAUGGGAUCUAAUUAAAAUAAAGAGCUUCUGCACAGCAAAAGAAACUACCAUCAGAGUGAACAGGCAACCUACAGAAUGGGACAAAAUUUUUGCAAUCUACCCAUCUGACAAAGGGCUAAUAUCCAGAAUCUACAAAGAACUUAAACAAAUUUACAAGAAAAAAACAACCCCAUAAAAAAAUGGUCAAAGGAUAUGAACUGACACUUCUCAAAAGAAGACAUUUAUGCAGCCAACAGACAUAUGAAAAAAUGCUCAUCAUCACUGGUCAUUAGAGAAAUGCAAAUCAAAACCACGAUGGGUUUUCUAACCUCAUGCCAGUUAGAAUAGCGAUCAUUAAAAAGUCAGGAAACAACAGAUGCUGGAGAGGAUGUGGAGAAAUAGGAAUGCUUUUACACUGUUGGUGGGAGUGUAAAUUAGUUCAACCAUUGUGGAAGACAGUGUGGCUAUUCUUCAAGGAUCUAGAACUAGAAAUACCAUUUGACCCAGCAAUCCCAUUACUGGGCAUAUACCCGAAGGAUUAUAAAUCAUUCUGCUAUAAAGACACGUGCACACGUAUGUUUAUUGCGGCACUAUACACAAUAGCAAAGACUUGGAACAACCCAAAUGUCCAUCAAUGAUAGACUUGAUUAAGAAAACGUGGCUCAUAUACACCAUGGAAUACUAUGCAGCCAUAAAAAAGGAUGAGUUUGUGUCCUUUGCAGGGACAUGGAUGAAGCUGGAAACCAUCAUUCUCAGCAAACUAUCACAAGAUCAGAAAACCAAACACCGCAUAUUCUCACUCAUAAGUGGGAGCUGAAGAAUGAGAACACAUGGACACAGGGAGGGGAACAUCACACACCAGGGCCUGUGGUGGGUGGGGGGAUAGAGGAGGGAUAACAUUAGGAGAAAUACCUAAUGUAGGUGAUGGGUUGAUUGGUGCAGCAAACCACCAUAGCAUGUGUAUACCUAUGUAACAAAACUGCACGUUCUGCACAUGUAACCCAGAACUUAAAUUAUAAUAAAUAAAUAAAUAAGUGGUCUGGAGGAACCAGACCAUCAUUAGUUUGCUGAA